rnacentral:lncRNA from 1 species
GACCCAUUCAGUUGCACUGGCACUAGCUACUUCAUGCCCAAAACAUGAGUUAGCGAAUUAUAAAAGCUCCUCAUCUUUACGGCGGAGGUGGCUUUUUUUAUUCUCAGAUGCAGCCAUUAACUCUUGAUGAGAAACUCUUACCUGCAGAGAUGUAUUCCGAGUGCUUAACCGGGUGACAGCACGCGCAUAUGCUCAGGGAACACUGCCAGUGCUAACAGUGACACGGCGCUGGCUUCACAUGACUUGUCUGGGAGGGGACAGCCAGCUCCUGCUUGGAAACACACCCCAGUCGCCUUUGCCUAAACCCUCAUAAAGUUUCCACAGCGGUAGUGAAAGGUGAGGAGUUGAACUCUGGGCUCUGAAUAGACACAAAGGACCUCUCCUAGGCUACCAUCAGCAGGAGGUGAGCAAAGAAUGGGUAGCCAGAGUUCAGGGGCGUAGCACCUUGAAAAGAUAUGAUAGAAACUCUUGAGGAAAUAAUUAAAAAGCAAUGUCAUGUGUCUGUUUAAAGUGCGAUUGUAAGCUUUUCUAGGGACUGUGCUUGCCUUGAGAGCUGUGCAGUGCUUGGCACAGUAGGACGUCCACCAAACACGAAGUCUAGUCCUCUGCCUGCCCACAUAGCGUGGCUGAUGAUAUGCAACUUUUCGGGUGACCAGCGUGUUCCUCCCUUCUGAAACGCUGCAAGAGGAGUGCUUCCAAGAGGCUUGGUGGCAUCAUAAAGAUGAAAAGCGACUCUGGACAUUCCACCAUGGCUGAGCAGCAGAAACAGGAGGAGAAGCUCUGCCAUGCCUUGAAGAUCACUGCCCGUGUCCUUGGUACAGGCCUGAUCGUGUUCACUGCCUUAGCAAACUCUGUUUCUUGGUAAGAUUGUUCGAACAAAGGG